rnacentral:rRNA from 1 species
CACGGGGGGAGCAAGCGUUGUUCGGAUUCAUUGGGCGUAAAGGGCUCGUAGGUGGCUUUGUAAGUCGGAGGUGAAAUCCCACGGCUCAACCGUGGACACGCCUUCGAAACUGUGAAGCUUGAGGCUGGGAGAGGAGAUCGGAAUUCCUGGUGUAGCGGUGAAAUGCGUAGAUAUCAGGAGGAACACCUGAGGCGAAGGCGGGCUACUGGGCCGAUACUGACGCUGGAGGAGCGAAAGCGUGGGGAGCGAACAGG